CCUACGGGAGGCAGCAGUGGGGAAUAUUGCACAAUGGGGGAAACCCUGAUGCAGCGAAGCCGCGUGAGUGAGGAAGUAGUUCGGUAUGUAAAGCUCUAUCAGCAGGGAAGAAAAUGACGGUACCUGACCAAGAAGCCCCGGCUAACUACGUGCCAGCAGCCGCGGUAAUACGUAGGGGGCAAGCGUUAUCCGGAUUUACUGGGUGUAAAGGGAGCGUAGACGGUUAUGUAAGUCAGAAGUGAAAGCCCAGGGCGCAACCCCGGGACUGCUUUUGAAACUGGGUAUCUUGAGUGCAGGAGAGGCAGGCGGAAUUCCUGGUGUAGCGGUGAAAUGCGUAGAUAUUAGGAGGAACACCGGGGGCGAAGGCGGCCUGCUGGACUGAAACUGACGUUGAGGCUCGAAAGCGUGGGGAGCAAACAGGAUUAGAUACCCUGGUAGUC
rnacentral:rRNA from 1 species